rnacentral:rRNA from 1 species
AAAUGAAUUGACGGGGCCUCACACAAGCGGUGGAUCAUGUGGCUUAAUUCGUCAAUAAACGAGGAACCUUACCAGGGCUUGACAAGCUAAUGAAAUCCUAUAGAAACAUAGGACCUCCGCAAGGACAUUAGCUCAGGUGCUGCAUGGUUGUCGUCAGCAUGUGCUGUGAAGUGCACCCUUAAAUGGGGUAACAUGCGCAACCCUCACUCUAUGUUUUAAAUGUCAUAGAGAACUGCUCGAGACAAUUGAGAGGAAGGUGAGGAUGACGCCAAAUCAGCAUGGCCUUUUGAUGCCCUGGGCCGCACACAUGAUACAAUGGAGCUGACAAUGGGCGAAGUCGCAAGACGGAGGUAAUCCCAACAAACGGCUCCUUAAUUCGGAUUGAGGUCUGCAACUCGACCUCAUGAAGUCGGAAUCGCUAGUAAUCGCCAAUCAGCUAUGUGGCGAUGAAUAUGUUCCUGAGGCUUGUACACACCGCCCGU